rnacentral:lncRNA from 1 species
CAGCCCCCGAAGGUCGGGGUGCCAACACCCCCCAGCGGAAAAAUGGCCAAAAAACGGGUGGGCUAUAGCCUUGGUGGGGGGCGUGGGCGAAGUUCGUCCGCCGAACUCGGAAUGGCCCCAGACUUUGCGGGCGGCCUCCGUGUGCCAAAAAUAGGCCACGGGCAGAGCCGCGCCCAAAAAUCAGCCCCCGAAGGUCGGGGUGCCAAGACCCCCCAUCGGAAAAAUGGCCAAAAAACGGGUGGGCUAUAGCCUUGGUGGGGGGCGUGGGCGAAGUUCGUCCGCCGGACUCGGAAUGGCCCCAGACUUUGCGGGCGGCUUCCGUGUGCCAAAAAUAGGCCACGGGCAGAGCCGCGCCCAAAAAUCAGCCCCCGAAGGUCGGGGUGCCAACACCCCCCAGCGGAAAAAUGGCCAAAAAACGGGUGGGCUAUAGCCUUGGUGGGGGGCGUGGGCGAAGUUCGUCCGCCGGACUCGGAAUGGCCCCAGACUUUGCGGGCGGCUUCCGUGUGCCAAAAAUAGGCCACGGGCAGAGCCGCGCCCAAAAAUCAGCCCCCGAAGGUCGGGGUGCCAACACCCCCCAGCGGAAAAAUGGCCAAAAAACGGGUGGGCUAUAGCCUUGGUGGGGGGCGUGGGCGAAGUUCGUCCGCCGGGCUCGGAAUGGCCCCAGACUUUGCGGGCGGCCUCCGUGUGCCAAAAAUAGGCCACGGGCACAGCCGCGCCCAAAACUCAGCCCCCGAAGGUCGGGGCGCCAAGACCCCCCCGCGGAAAAAUGGCCAAAAAACGGGUGGGCUAUAGCCUUGGUGGGGGGCGUGGGCGAAGUUCGUCCGCCGGACUCGGAAUGGCCCCAGACGUUGCGGGCGGGCUCCGUGUGCCAAAAAAAGGCACGGGCAAGGCCGCGCCCAAAAAUCAGCCCCCGAAGGUCGGGGUGCCAACACCCCCCAGCGGAAAAAUGGACAAAAAACGGGUGGGCUAUAGCCUUGGUGGGGGGCGUGGGCGAAGUUCAUCCGCCGGACUCGGAAUGGCACCAGACUUUGCGGGCGGCCUCCGUGUGCCAAAAAUAGGCCACGGGCACAGCCGCGCCCAAAAAUCAGUUCCAGAAGGUCGGGCCGCCAAGACCCCCCAGCGGAAAAAUAGCCAAAAAACGGGUGGGCUAUAGCCUUGGUCGGGGGCGUGGGCGAAGUUCGUCCGCCGGACUCGGAAUGGACCCAGACUUUGCGGGCGGCCUC